UACGUAGGGUGCGAGCGUUGUCCGGAAUUACUGGGCGUAAAGAGCUCGUAGGUGGUUUGUCGCGUUGUCCGUGAAAACUCACAACUCAAUUGUGGGCGUGCGGGCGAUACGGGCAGACUGGAGUACUGCAGGGGAGACUGGAAUUCCUGGUGUAGCGGUGGAAUGCGCAGAUAUCAGGAGGAACACCGGUGGCGAAGGCGGGUCUCUGGGCCGAUACUGACGCUGAGGAGCGAAAGCGUGGGGGAGCGAACAGG
rnacentral:rRNA from 1 species